CAAGUCAAGUUAGGUUGUUCGCUUGAGCCGAAAGACUUGGGUUACCUGUGUUUUAGACAUUUCCCUUUGCGCCAGGUAGGCGAACCCACACAUGUGAGGUACCGUUUUCAUAGGGACACAUGUGGAAAGAGGCCAUUUGUUGUGUUUGCAUGGUUUUUAUAACAUUUAACCAAUUUCCUGCUGCCCUUUGUCACACAACCCUUUCAUUUCCCAAAUGUGGCCUACAUCUAGUCACUGUUUUAGGCACUAUAAACUUUUGUAACCUGCACAAGUCACCUACCCUUCAAAUGGUCUUACUGUGUUCUUUCAAAAAAUGUUUGCUUGCCCUUCCUCACCACAUUUGUUUCCCUUAUUAACACAUGCUAAGUAUGUCUGUUUAGGCCAUCAGCAUAAAAAUCCUGUGCACCCUGGCUGCGUUUUUGGCUUGGGGUAUUGCUUGUUUUGUGAAACAUCACAAAAAAUGUGUGAUUUCCUAACUGGAAGAGUCGGGGGAAUGUAGCGGAGCAUUGUUUUUCUCAAAAUUCACAGAAGCCAUUGCCUUACCGGGCCAACCUUGUCUACCACAUACCUUUUGUUUCUGUCAUUUUCCCGAUUCUUCCCCAAACUAUGUAAUUUUCCCUACAUAGUUGUUGCCUAACCUGUGCAAAUCACCCCUUCCUAAACUUGGCAUUGUGUCUACUUCAUAGAAAUGUAUGUCUUUCUGUCCUCUCAAUCAGCUUUCCUACCCUUUUCUUCCAUUCCGUCCAUGCAUAUCCUUUUGGAAAAAAAGCCAAAAUCGCCUACCUUUCACAAAACGGUAGGUAACCAUAUCGAAAUAUGUGUUCUUGGUUUCCACUCAACCUGUUCUUGAAAGCCUGGAAAGAAACUGGGGAAUUCAGCACAGCAAACCAUUUGUUCAUAGCACUUACAAGGAAAAGACCACAGGCUUCUUUGUACACCAUUUUAUUAGCAUUUUCGGAAAAAACCCAAAGUUUCUCAGUUUUUGGUUAUUUUCUCUCACCCGCCCUACAGCAAACAAGGAUUCCUUGUGGCGUUAUGACCGCCUACAUGUGGGAAAAAAGGGGCUGCAUUGGCCGAGACAUAUCAUGUAACAAAAAAGUUACAAGGCAAUGAAUGGCAAAGUACCAAAAUCACCAAAAAAGGCCUUGGAACUGGGGGGGGGCACAUGGCAGUUAAGGGGUCAAGGCACCCGAUGCCCAGGCUCAUCAGACACCAGAAAAAGUGUUGGUUGAUAUAGAUAGCAGGACGGUGGCCAUGGAAGUCGGAAUCCGCUAAGGAGUGUGUAACAACUCACCUGCCGUAAACAACUAGCCCUGAAAAUGGAGGGUGCUGGAGCGGCGGGCCCAUACCCGGCUGUCGCGGGCGCUGAGGGCGCGGGGGCUAAACUGCGACGAGUAGGAGUGCUGCUACGGUGCGCACGGUAGGUGCAGAUCUUGCUGGUAGUAGCAAAUAUUCAAUCAAGAACUUUGAAGGACAAAGUGGAGAAAAGUUCCAUGUGAACAGCAGUUGAACAUGGGUCAGUCGGUCUUAAGAGAUGGGCGUGCGCCGUUCGGAAGGGACAGGCAAUGGCAUCCGUUGCCCUCAGCUGAUCGAAAGGGAGUCGGGUUCAGAUCCCUUCGAACCCAGAGUGGUGGAGACGGGUGCCCUUGCGGCGUCCAUUGCGGUAAUGCAAACUAUCCCUGAGAAGCACGUAGCAGCCCCAGGGAGAGUUCUCUUUUCUUUGUGAAGGGCAGGGCACCCUGGAAUGCGUUCGCCCCGAGAGAGCUGCCCGAGCCUUGGAAAGUGGUGCGGUUCCGGCAGCGUCGGGUGAGCUCUCGCUGCCCCUUGAAAAUCCAGGGGAGAUGGUAUAAAUCUUGCGCCGGGUCGUACCCAUAUCCGCAGCAGGUCUCCAAGGUGAACGGACUCUGGCAUGUUGGAACAAUGUAGGUAAGGGAAGUCGGCAAGUCAGAUCCAUAACUUUGGGAUAAGGAUUGGCUCUAAGGGCUUGGUCGGUUGGGCUGGGGCGCAAAGCAGGGCUGGGGGCACAACGCGACUGGGCGAGGUGUCUCCCCGGGGCGGCGCCGACUCUGGACACAAGCUGGGCCAUUCCUGUGGAUCGCCCUAGCUGUGGUGGUCGCCGCUCUCCAUUGCCCUCCGUGGUUCAGGGCCGGCGUUCUGACUCGGCGACGCCUAGCAACUGACUUAGAACUGGUGCGCAUUAGGGGAAUCUGACUGUUUAAUAAAAAAAAAACAUUGCGAAGGCCCGCGGUGGGUGUUGACGCAAAGUGAUUUCUGCCAGUGCUCUGAAUGUCAAAGUGAAGAAAUUAAUGAAGCGCGGGUAAAUGGCGGGAGUAACUAUGACUCUCUUAAGGUAGCCAAAUGCCUCCAAUGCCUCCUCAUCUAAUUAGUGACACGUAUGAAUGGAUGAAUGAGAUUUCCACUGUCCCUACUUAGAAUCUAGCGAAACCACAGCCAAGGGAACAGGCUUGUCUGAAUCUGUGGGGAAAGAAGACCCUGUUGAGCUCGACUCUAGUCUGGCACUGUGAACAGCCAUGAGAGGUGUAGGAUACGUGGGUUGUCCUCAGGCCGCCGGUGAAAUACCACUACUCAUAGUUUUUUCACUUACCCGGUGAGACAAGCCCCGUGGGGCUCUCGCUUCAAGCUCCAAGCACCCGGCGCCAUACUGGGCGCAUCCCGCUCUGGGGACAGUCGCAGGUGGGCAGUUUGACUGGGGCGGUACACCUGUCAAACGAUAACACAGGUGUCCUAAGGCGAGCUCAGGGAGGACAAAAACCGCCCGCGGAGCAGAAGGGCAAAAGCUAGCUUGAUCUCGAUUUUCAGAAUAAAUACAGAUUGUGUAAAAAGCAGGGCCUCGCGAUCCUUCUGACUUUGAGUUUCAAGCGGGAGGUGUCAGAAAAGUUACCACAGGGAUAACUAGCUUGUGGGGGCUAAGCGUUCAUAGCAACGUCACUUUUUGAUCCUUCAAUGUCGGCUCUUCCUAUCAUUGUGAAGCAGAAUUCACCAAGCGUUGCAUUAUUCACCACUAAUAGGGAACGUGAGCUGGGUUUUACCCUACUGAUGAUGUGUUCUUGCAAUAGUAAUCCUGCUCAGUACGAGAGGAACCACAGGUUCAGACAUUUGGUGUAUGUGCUUGGCUGAGGAGCCAAUGGAGCAAAACUACCAUUUGUGGGAUUAUGACUGAACGCCUCUAAGUCAGAAUCCCCUCUGAACCUUAAGGAUACUGCAGCGCUGCGGAGCCUUGGUUGGCCUAAAAUAGCCGGUCUCUGGGCCGGUGCACAGAGCCGCUUGCCUCGGGACUGGAGUGUGGACAGAAGGGGGCCACCUCUCUCGCCCGUAGUGCACCGCUU
rnacentral:rRNA from 1 species